GAAAUGCGAUAAGUAAUGUGAAUUGCAGAAUUCAGUGAAUCAUCGAAUCUUUGAACGCACCUUGCGCUCCUUGGUAUUCCUUGGAGCAUGCCUGUUUGAGUAUCAUGAAAUCUUCAAAGUAAAUCUUUUGUUAACUCAAUUGGUUUCUACUUUGGUAUUGGAGGUCUUUGCAGCUUCACACCUGCUCCUCUUUGUUCAUUAGCUGGAUCUCAGUGUUAUGCUUGGUUCCACUCGGCGUGAUAAGUUAUCUAUCGCUGAGGACACUGUAAAAGGUGGCCAAGGUAAAUGCAGAUGAGCCGCUUCUAAUAGUCCAUUGACUUGAACAAUACUUUUAUGAUCUGAUCUCAAAUCAGGUAGGACUACCCGCUGAACUUAAGC
rnacentral:misc_RNA from 1 species